GUAGAUUACAAAAGGUAGAGGAGCUUCUGAGAGGUUGUGGCUGUUGGAGAACAGGAGAGAGGAAUGUUGUUCCCGAAGGUAGGACAAAUCUGAAGUACAAAUGUAUGUGAGCUGUGGCUUUCAAAUGACAAAGAAAAUUGGAGAAUGGUGAGGAAAUCGGUGGUGAGUGUUGAAGUCAGGGCUAGAACCCGGAUCAUUUUCCUUCAAGUCAUGAAUUGUGCCUCCAAACCACACAGAAACACUUCACAGACCCCAAAGGAAACGAUGAGUAGCAGAACUGAUCAUGAGUCUCCUAAGAUUGGGAAGGAAAGGAUUGGAAUUCAUUCAAAAUGAGGGAACAAAAUCAUUGAAUGAAACCCACAUUGUAGAAUCUGAGGGUGGCUAUGAAAGACGAGAACCAAAAUAAAACUGAACAAAUGAGGAACA
rnacentral:lncRNA from 12 species